UGAGGCACGGAUGGACGGAUCACAUCCCUCCCUUCCCGUCUUUUGUAGUCAAGGAAGGGGAAAGAUGGCGCCUACACAUGUACUGAGAUGCUGCCAGAGGGGUCUGGCGUGGAUACCGGUGAUAUUUAUUGCCUUAGUGGUGUGCUGGUCGUAUUAUGCAUACGUGGUGGAGCUGUGUCUGUUUACUAUUCCCAGUCCUAUUGAAAAAGCCAUCUACCUGGCUGUGUUUCACGUGUCGUUCAUCAUGUUUGUGUGGUCGUACUGGAAAACUAUCUUUACAAGACCAGCAACCCCUUCCAAAGAGUUUUGUCUACCAAAAUCUGAGAAAGAGCAGUAUGAAAAGGAACAGCGUCCGGAAACGCAGCAGGAGAUCCUGAAGAGAGUGGCCACCAGUCUGCCCCUCUACACCCGCACCGGGGCAGGAGCUAUUCGGUACUGUGACCGUUGCCAGGUCAUCAAGCCAGACAGAUGUCAUCAUUGUUCUGCAUGUGACAUGUGUGUUCUAAAGAUGGAUCAUCACUGUCCAUGGGUCAAUAACUGUGUGGGUUUCUCUAACUACAAGUUCUUCAUCCUGUUCCUGACUUACUCGCUUGUGUACUGCUUAUUCAUCGCAGCCUCUGUCCUCCAGUACUUCAUAAAGUUCUGGACACUUUGCCGGAGGAAAUCGGCAGAGAAUUGUCCAAAGAGUGACCUGCCAGAGUCUCACGCCAAAUUCCAUGUCUUGUUUCUCUUUUUUGUGGCGGCCAUGUUCUGCAUCAGCAUUCUUUCACUCUUCACUUACCACUUGUGGCUUGUGGGAAAAAACAGGUCCACCAUAGAAGCGUUCAGAGCCCCGGUCUUCAGAAAUGGCCCUGACAAAAAUGGAUUUUCCCUGGGCUUCAGCAAGAACAUUGCUCAGGUGUUCGGGGACCAGAAGAAGUACUGGCUACUUCCUGUCUUUACCAGUCAAGGAGACGGCUUUUCUUUUCCUACACGGUUGGUAACUGUUGAUCCAGAGCAGCCCACUGAAUGUAUUCAGCCUGCCGCGUUGGAUAAAGGUGCUGUAGAAGGGUCUGCUGAGCAAACCACCCCUCUCAGUGAGUCCCAAAACCGUCUGUUAGGCAACGAUUACCACACUGAGGAAGAUCACAAAGAGACAGACGCUCUAAAGUCUGAUGAAAGUGAGGCCAUCACGAUCUCCAUUGAGAGCGAGUCAUAGCCAGUCGCAAAGAAAUGAAGGUUUCUGAGGAAAACAUUCCAGGAUUUUUCUCCAUAUAGUGGACUUCAACGGUGUCAAGCUAGUGCAAGGCGAGCAUUUGUGGUUAAAAAGUAUAUAAAUUUGUAUUUUUUUAAGAAAAUGACUGAUCGUUUUGCUAGUUAAGACCCUUAUUUCUUGUCUGGGAUCAUGUAGAGCCCUCUGAAGCUGCAUUGAAUCUGCAGUUUUGGACCUUCCACCCAUUGACCACCAUUGAAUUCCACUAUAUGGAGAAAAAUCCUGGAAUGUUUUUCUCAAAAACCUUCAUUUCUUUUCAAAUGAAUAAAGAAAGAUCUUGGAUGACCUUGGAUGACUUUGGGGACUGAAGCUGGUGAGAGGUGAGUCCUCAGUGGUCUCGUGCCUUUGACUCCCAGUAUUGGGGACUGUUGAGGAGAAUCACAGCCAUCAAAGCUGAUGCCUUAAACAGCUCUUUUUCUCUUAAAGCUCCUGAACACUUUCUUUUCGUCAUCGCUUUUGGAGCGUCCCAAGUCUGUCCUCACAUCUGUAAAAUUACUCCCAGUCCUCUUCAACUAUAGUAGCUGCACUCUUUUAACAAAGAGGUUUGCACGCAUGUCUUUUACAUCCAUUGUUUUUGCACAGCAAACUGUUUUGUUGCUCAGGCCUUCGUGAGACAUGCAGAUUUCAUGUGCAUGUGAAUUGAUACAGGUGAUAGUAAUUUCAAAACUCUUCUCCAAGUGUUUACCAGGAAAUGCACCACAUCUGGUACCAGCUGCUGUUUACUUGAGGGGAAAGGUGGGAAACGGUUUCUUUUCUGGAUCCGUACCAAGUGACUGAGCUCGUCUGGAAUUCUGUGUGCCACAGAGUGUAAUGCAGAGCGCAAGGUGCUCAUUCGCACUUUUAUGUUUUGGAAUAUUACACGUUUUUUUAACUUCAUUGACAUUCUUCUAAGAUAUAUGUAUAUAUAUAUACACACAAACACACACGUGUUCACAAAGUGCAACCGAGUGUGUCUAGGCAAAGGAAAAAAAUGCCUGCAAAAGACUAAGCUGCUCCACUUACGGUGACUUUUUUUUUUUUUUUGUCAUCGUGUUGAUGAUUUUGGUGUGAAAUGUUGUGCACACGUUGGCCACUUUACGUAUGCCAAAUAAAGGGCUUAAUACCAGAGCUCUGAACUCUACAGGAGUGUUUACAAAAUGUCAGUAAUACCUCUCUGCUCAUGCAGUGUAGCCGGUGUCAUCUUGGAAACCAAAAGAAAAUCUUUGUAGGUUCCUCCUGCAGUAUCAGAACUGGCCAGCAGGCGGCAUUUACACUGCUUGAUAUUGUAUUAUCCGGUCAGUGGUCUUUGGUAUUGUAUCACCAGACUUUAUUAUAGUCUCAAUCCUUGAUCAAAUUAUGUUUUUACCCUUUUUUCCUUUUGUAUUUUAUACAUAAGCAUUGUGAAUAGCUCUAUAGAUUCAGAAGACUUAUUUUUAAGCCAUUUUUGCAAAGGUGAAAGGUUCUUUUUGUGUAUUUAUAUUUGUCGUAAGUUAUCAUUUGUAAACUUUGGUCCGGUGUGGAAUAAUAAUUGUGCCCGUCAGCUGUGACUGUAGCGUGAGCUUACGUGGAACUGAUGUGUGGAAAUCCAGAUGUGUUUGUGUACUACAAAGUGAACCGCAGUGAUUGCUUUGUGUGUGUUCCGACUUUUCUAAAGCAAUGCCUUGACAAAUCAAGACAUAACGUUACGCGCAAGCGCACAUUUGAAUGUCGCUGUUCUAGAGUGUUUGUUGUAAAUGAGGGUGAAACAUAUGGAACCCCUUUUCCGCCAUUGAAUAAAAAAUAAAAAAGAAUAAUUGCAAAUUUUAUCUCAAAAUUCUGACUUUUUUUUUGCAGUUGCGAAAAUUGUGAGAUAUAAACCUUGUGUGAAAUUUGCAUGUUAAAACUUAACAUAAACUCGCAAUUCUGAGAACAUGCCAGUCUUUUUUUCCCUUAAAAAUGGACCUCAUAACUCGCAGUUGUAAGUUUAUAUCUCACAAUCCUGAGAAAAAGAAUUCACAAUUGCAAGAUACAAAUUGCAAUUGUGAGAGAAAAACUCGCGAGAUACAAACUCUCAAUUGCGAGAAAAAAGUCAGAACUGUCAGAUAACAUACUUGCAAUUGCGAGAAAAUGUCAGAAUUGCGAGAUACAAACAUGCAAUUGGGAGACAAUUUUCAGAAUUGAGAGAUAAAAACACGCAAUUAUGAGAAAGUAAAUUUUGAAAUAAAAAGUUAGAAUUUCAAGAUACAAACUCACAACUGUGAGAAAAAAAGUCAGUUUGAUACUUUAUCUUGCAAUUCUGACUUUUUUUCUUGCAGUUGUGAGUUUAUAUCAUGCGAUUCUUAGAAAAAAAGUCAGAAUUGUCACUAUAUGUUGAAAUACUGACUUUAUAAUUUGCAAUUGCGAGUUCAUAUCUCGCAAUUCUGACUUUAUUUCUCAGAGCUGCUACUUUUUCUCAGAAUUGCGUGUUUAUCUCACAAUUCUGACUUUUUAACACAAUUGUGAAUUUCUCAAAAUUCGGAGAAAAAAAGAAUUGUGAGGUACAAACUCGCAGUUGCGAGGAAAAAGUCAGUUGAGAGAAAAAAGUCAGAAUUUCGAGAGAUAAGCUCGCGAUUGCAAGGAAAAAAAUGUAAAUUGCGAGAAAAAAAGUCAGAACUGUGAGAUAACAAACUUGCAAUUGCGAGAAAAUGUCAGAAUUGCGAGAUACAAACAUGCAAUUGGGAGAAAAAUUUCUGAAUUGAGAAAUAAAAACACGCAAUUACAAGAAAGUCAAUUUUGAAAUAAAAAGUAAGAAUUCCAAGAUACAAACACACAAUUGUGAGGGGGAAAAAAAAUCAGUUGCAAGAAAAAUUCAGAAUUUCGAGAUAUAAACUCACAAUUGCAAGAAAGUCAAAAAAAAAAAGUUUAUAUCAUGCAAUUCUUAGAAAAAAAGUCAGAAUUGUCACUAUAUGUUGCAAUACUGACUUUAUAAUUUGCAAUUGCGAGUUCAUAUCUCGCAAUUCUGACUUUAUUUCUCAGAGCUGCUACUUUAUUUCUCAGAAUUGCAUGUUUAUCUCAAUUCUGACUUUUUAACACAAUUGCGAGUUUCUCUCAAUUCUGAGAAAAAAGAAUUGUGAGGUACAAAUUCGCAAUUGCGAGAAAAAAUCAGUUGAGAGAAAAAAAAGUCCAAAUUUCAAGAAAUAAACUCGCGAUUGCAAGGAAAAAGUCAGAAUUGUAUGUUUUUAUCUUGCAAUUCUGAAUUUAUAACUUUCAAGUGCUAGUUAUAUCUUGCAAUUCUGACUGUUUUUUUUGAGAAUUGCAAGAUAUAAACUAGCAGUUGUGAGAAAAAAGUCAGAAUUGUGAGAUAGAAACACACAAUAGCCAGUAAAAGGCCAGAAUUGCAAGAUACAAAUUUGCAAUUGUGAGAAAGUCAGUUGAGAGAAAAAAGUCAGAAUUUCGAGAGAUAAACUUGCGAUUGCGAGAAAAAGUCAGAAUUGUAAGUUUUUAUCUUGCAAUUCUGACUUUAUUUUUCGCAAUUUUGACUUUAUAACUAGCAAGUGUUAGUUAUAUCUCGCAAUUCUGAUUGUUUUUCUGAGAAUUGCGAGAAAAGUGUCUGAAUUGCAAAUACAAACUUGCAAUUGCGAGAAAUAAAGUCAGAUGUUAGAAAGUCUAAAUUUCGAGAUGUAUACUCGCAAUUGCAAGAAAAAAACUAGUUAUCCGACAGUUCUGACUUUAUUUCUCGCAGUUGUGAGUUUCUAUCAUGCAAUUCAGAGGAAAAAAAUGUCAGAAUUGUGAUUUUGUAUUUUGCAAUUCUGACCUUAUUUCUCAGAAUUGCAUUUAUCUCUCACAGUUUUGACUUUAUAACACAACUGCGAGUUUCUUAGAAACAAAGUAAGAAUUGUUGGGUGAAAAGUCACAAUCACCUUUUUUUAUUUAGUGGUGGAAAUGCACCAUAUAAACAAGUCAAUCAAGCAGUUAAAAGAAAAAAAAUAUCUCCGUACAGAAAAACAAAGCAGUCUUUCAUGAAUUUAGAUAGACAGCUAAGAUUUAUUUAUACACCUGCAGCAUUUAUGGAAAAUUUCAGUAUCUCAGAUCUGAUUUUGAAUGGCGUGUAAGUAUUACCAGAUGGGUUUUAUAGUUCCUCAAGAUAUUUUUGACUGUUUAUGUGCUGAGGCAAUCUCAGUUUAUCACUUUUACCAUCAGCGACCACCUUUACAUAGGUUGCUGGUGGUUAUGGAAAUUGCAGCGAGUAAUUUUGUAUGUGAAAUGGUGUAGCUGUUUUUGUGGUGUUAAGGAAUGCGUAUAUUGGUAAAGAAUGUUUAAUACAGGCUUUAUAAUAUUGUUCUUUUUUUGUGUAUCUCAGCCUUUUUUGCCAUUCAUGACAUUUUAUACUUUAUUAACAAGGAAAAAGUAAACGUGAAGCCAUAAUGACAUUAUUAUAGAAAACGUGGUGUUGGUGUCCUUCCACCAUUUUCUUUAUUUCUGUUACAAAACCGAAGCCUUGUGCUUCAAUGCAUGUCAAGAACAGUUAAAUAUUUGAUCUGCUGAUGUGGCCUGGAUGGAGGUUAGAAUUUUUUUGGAAUUACAUCUUUUAAAAUGCAUAUGUUAGAGAUAAAAACAAAGACAUAUUUUUUAAUUUUAACAUGGAUAUUUUGUGAAUGAAGUACAUGCUUAUAUGUAACAAGUAACAAUAAAUGUCCUUUUAUAAAAUGUCA